GACUGAGCGGCGGACGGGUGAGUAACGCGUGGGCAACCUGCCUCAUACAGGGGGAUAACAGUUAGAAAUGACUGCUAAUACCGCAUAAGCGCACAGGACCGCAUGGUGUAGUGUGAAAAACUCCGGUGGUAUGAGAUGGACCCGCGUCUGAUUAGGUAGUUGGUGGGGUAAAGGCCUACCAAGCCGACGAUCAGUAGCCGACCUGAGAGGGUGACCGGCCACAUUGGGACUGAGACACGGCCCAAACUCCUACGGGAGGCAGCAGUGGGGAAUAUUGCACAAUGGGGGAAACCCUGAUGCAGCGACGCCGCGUGAAGGAAGAAGUAUUUCGGUAUGUAAACUUCUAUCAGCAGGGAAGAAGAUGACGGUACCUGAGUAAGAAGCACCGGCUAACUACGUGCCAG
rnacentral:rRNA from 1 species